AUAUAUAUAUUUGUUUACAUUAAAUAAGAGCCAAAUAAGAGCUGGUAAAUACAUGUCCUCUGUAGUGGACAUCAUCAUGCACUAACUAGGUGUUUUACCUACUGUCCCCAUUUACUGCAAUGUUACAUGUUUCAUAUAUACUAUCAACUAGGUGUUUUACCUACUGUCCCCAUUUACUGCAAUGUUACAUGUUUCAUAUAUACUAUCAACUAGGUGUUUUACUUACUGUCCCCAUUUACUGCAAUGUUACAUGUUUCAUAUAUACUAUCAACUGAGUCAUAAUGGGCACUACAGUGCAAAUACAAUAAAACAUGUAUAUAACUUUUUCCAUCUUUUCUUUUUGUAACAUGUUUUUCUCUGCCCCCGGCACUCUUUCCGGGUCUCAGGAGGAUAGAUUGUAGGCCCCUCCACAGUGGAUCCACCUUCAGUGUGCUAAUCCUGCACAGGGCCAUGCAAAGCAGGAGGGACAAGCAGAACAUUCAGAAAUAAGAAUGAGUCCUGGUCUCUCCUGGUCUCUACCCACUGUUCCCAUUUCAAUCUAGCCUGGCGAUAGAAAACAGACGGCAUGCUAGGGUCAGGGGUCAGCCCAGGCUCAAUUAGAGAACCCCCCAGUGAAAAGGCCUGUGAUUAUUUUAAAGCCUUUAACGUCUCUCUCCCUGCUGACAGAGAAGAGGUGCUCUUUCCGAAUAAAAAGUGGAUUUGCCCCUCCCCUCCUCCCUUCUGCACCGGUUGUCAAAAUGUAUAAAGUUUAUAAACAGAGACAUGCAGGGUUAAAAGGUGCGAGAAGGGAGGUCACAGAGGAGGGGACGGGGAGAUGGAGGACCCCCAACUCUCCUGUUGACAGAUACCAUUCGCUACGGAGCGGAGACCGCUGAAAGAUGAAGUGGUUCACAAAGACACACUUCUUUAGAGAAAUAUACUUAGAGAGGAAUUAUACCUAAAGGAGACAUUUGUUUCAGUUUGUUGACAAGAAAAAAUAAACGAAUUUUCUUCAUUUAUUUAUUUAUUUUGGUUUUAAAUAUUAUACUGUUGAAGGUCAAAUAAUAACUAGCAACAAAAGCAUUGCAUUUUGAGUGGUGGUGUUCAUGCCCUGGGACAUUUACAUUAUCAUAUAAAUGAUGGCUAUUGUAUAGUAAAAGACAGGUUUUACAUGUGAGAGUGGCUGAGCCAAUGGGAGAGAUGUGGCCCGAACAUAAGUGCUCUUCAGGGAUCCUAUCCCUGCUUUCUGGCUGGAACAUCAAACAGAUAAGUGCUGUGAUUUCCAUGGCUUCAAGUACAUUGCGUGGUACUGCUUUGAGUAAGUAGGUCUAUUGAGGUUGCAAGUUUAACUGUCUGAAGCUAACCAACCAUAUGCACAUUGGUAGGCCUGUCUAAAUGGAGGAUGUCUACUUGGAUGGGUGACACUAUAUGAACUUUCCUGUUUUUCAUAUCUAGACUAUCAAGCCAUACACAUGUGGCAAAGUUGAAAUCCAUAAGUAAUUGUGCCUGGUGAAGUGCCUGGUGAAACCAUAUCUUCCUUCCGAAUGGAAAAAGACAGGCAAUAAUACAAUAGCGAACAUUUUCAUUAGGCCUCUGCUUGAUCACACGGUUCAUUUGAUUACCUUGAUGAUAUUCUGCCAGAUUUACGCUCUAAUGACAGUACCCAGGACAGCUGUACAGCAUUUACCCUGUUCUCUUCUCACCCUUCACUGAGGCAAGGGUAAUUUCACCCUGAGCAUAAUAAUAAUAAAUAAUAUAUGCCAUUUAGCAGACGCUUUUAUCCAAAGCGACUUACAAUCAUGUGUGCAUACAUUCUACAUAUGGGUGGUCCCGGGGAUCAAACCCACUACCCUGGCGUUACAAGCGCCAUGCUCUACCAACUGAGCUACAGAAGGACCACCCUAACCAUAACACAAUCUCAUUAACACCUGUACUUUUCACACACACACACACACGCACAUGCACACACACACACACACACACACACACACACACACACACACACACACACACACACACACACACACACACACACACACACACACACACACACACACACACACACACACACACACACACAAACACACACACACACACACAC